UUAUCAUCUUAUAGGAAGAGGGGAUCAUUCGAUACGUCACAAUGCACCGCUUUGCACUCAAGUUCAAUCAAAUAUCAAAUGCCUAAAUAUUCAAUAGACAGUGUGUCCAAAAGAAGCAACAUGGGCCAAUACAAUAUGUUGUCCCACUUCACAUCGAAUGUUUGAGGGACCAACACCAUAAUUCAUUCAAAGGAACAAAAAACGGAAAAACUUACCAUGGCAAUAAUACGAUAAGAAAAGAUGACAAAUUUAAAAAACGAUUUAGAGAGACUCUUUUUCCUAGCUUUGUGACAAAAAGUACCAACUCCACAUAAGGUUGUUUGACUUACUAUUUCUUUUUCCUCAUUUCCAAAUUGUGCUCUGCCUUGUCUACUCUAAUGUUCUGCUUUUGCUCUUUCUUUCUUUUU